rnacentral:miRNA from 1 species
AUAAAUAUUAGACUGGUGCAAAAUUAACUGCGGUUUUGCCAUUAAAUAUAAUAGCAAAAACUGUAAUUACUUUUGCACCAACUUAAUA